UUGAAAGAGUUGAUGUAUACCUAAAUGGAGAUACUUGUCAGCAAUCGUAUCAAAAUCUGCAUAUUCAGCAAAUAGCUGUAUCUGAGCUACUUGAGAUCCUCGAGGAAAUAAUGAAAAAACAGCCAAUAAAGGUGAUUCCAUCCAUAAUGACAACUGUCGGGAAGACCAUGAUGAGGGAAUUAUACUCAAGAAUUGCAAUUGUAAUCAUUGACAUAUUUCCCGAUAUUCUUAGAGACAUAAUUCAGUCGACGAUUUCUCCACAAGACUUGUACAAGAAAUGCGACAAAGCUUUUCUUAGUUUAUGCUAUUCCGACCAACAAAAUUAUUUGAGGACAUUAAAACUUAAGAAUUCAUUUUCUUCCUUAGAUAUACCUAUCAUUUAUAAACUUUUAAGAUACUUUUCAUUAAUAUCCCCUCCAUCGAAGGGAUGGGGAAAAGCUCCUGAUCCUACUGAUCGUCUAAUUGCGGAUGACGUUGAACGUAUCCGAACGUUACGAAAUGAAAUAGCACAUAGAUGGGAUGCAAAUAUUGACAAGAAUACGUGUGAUGCCUUCUUUGUAAGAUUUAGUGACAUCGGUGAAAGAAUUGAUAUUCAUUUUACCGGACAUACAAGCUAUGAACAGAAAGUGAUUGACUGCAGGAUGUGUUCGAUGGAUAUCAAAAUGCAGACAAAGUACGAAAAUGCUGUCAAAGAAUUAGAGAAUCUAAAACUGCAUUACAAACGUAAGCCAGUAAACUUUUACUGGGGCGACACUUUUGAAAAAAAUCUUAUGAAUCUCCAAACGAUGUUUAGGCACGAAAAA